GGUGAGUAACGCGUGAGUAACCUGCCUUACACAAGGGGAUAGCCGUUGGAAACGACGAAUAAUACCCUAUGAAACUAUCGCUUCGCAUGAAGCGAUAGUCAAAGUGUUAGCGGUGUAAGAUGGACUUGCGUCUGAUUAGCUAGUUGGUGAGAAAAAGCCCACCAAGGCAACGAUCAGUAGCCGGCUUGAGAGAGUGUACGGCCACAUUGGGACUGAGACACGGCCCAG
rnacentral:rRNA from 1 species